GUGAACGCUGCGGUAGGCCUAACACAUGCACGUCGAACGGCAGCACAGUAAGAGCUUGCUCUUACGGGUGGCGAGUGGCGGACGGGUGAGGAAUACAUCGGAAUCUACUUUUUCGUGGGGGAUAACGUAGGGAAACUUACGCUAAUACCGCAUACGACCUACGGGUGAAAGCAGGGGAUCUUCGGACCUUGCGCGAUUGAAUGAGCCGAUGUCGGAUUAGCUAGUUGGCGGGGUAAAGGCCCACCAAGGCGACGAUCCGUAGCUGGUCUGAGAGGAUGAUCAGCCACACUGGAACUGAGACACGGUCCAGACUCCUACGGGAGGCAGCAGUGGGGAAUAUUGGACAAUGGGCGCAAGCCUGAUCCAGCCAUACCGCGUGGGUGAAGAAGGCCUUCGGGUUGUAAAGCCCUUUUGUUGGGAAAGAAAAGCAGCAGGUUAAUACCCCGCUGUUCUGACGGUACCCAAAGAAUAAGCACCGGCUAACUUCGUG
rnacentral:rRNA from 1 species